GCCGGUGUAGUUCAUUGGUAGAACGCGACCUUCCCAAGGUUGAGAGGCGGGUUCGAUUCCCGUCACCGGCU
rfam:Rhodococcus sp. B7740, complete genome.